rnacentral:ncRNA from 1 species
GUUCAUAAUUGUAAGCUCCCAAAUAUUGGAAGGAGCCUAGGGCUUUGACCACGUACUUGUUGAAAAAUGAGCUGACUACUCAUAAGCAGUAGCUUGGUUAAGGGAACUCACCGGAGCUGUAGCGAAAGCGAGUCUUCAUAAGGCAGUUGUCACUGCUUAUGGACUCGAACUUGGGUAAUCUAUUCAUCACUAGGAUGAAACUUGGGUGAAACUAAGUGGAGGUCCGAACCGACUGAUGUUGAAGAAUCAGCGGAUGAGUUGUGAUUAGGGGUGAAAUGCCACUCGAACACUAUAGUUCCAAUAAGGUCGGAAGCGUGUAAAUUAUUGUACUAAAAAAUCACACAAAGUUCAAUUCACAGGGAAGAAAGGUGGAUCACAAGGAUCUCUUGAAUACCAAGUCUUUCCUCAGUCAAAAUAUUCCUUCUAUAGUAAUUUAAUAGCACAAUUAAAUACUACUAUUAUACCCUUAAAUAUUGAAAGAAAAAUAGGACAAGAAA